CGGUUAAAAAGCUCGUAGUUGGAUCUCGGCAAGUAGAGGGCGGUAUGCUUCGUAGCAUUACUGCCCUAUUACUUGUAGUUUUGCCAGAGGUUCCUGGGUGCUCUUAAUCGAGUGUCUAGGGAUGCUGGCAGGUUUACUUUGAAAAAAUUAGAGUGCUCAAAGCAGGCUAUUACGCUUGAAUAUUCGUGCAUGGAAUAAUAGAAUAGGAAGUUGUUUCUAUUUUGUUGGUUUUCGGAAAUCGACUUAAUGAUUAAUAGGGACAGUCGGGGGCAUUUGUAUCCAAACGACAGAGGUGAAAUUCUUGGACCGUUUGAAGACAAACUACUGCGAAAGCAUUUGCCAAGAAUGUUUUCAUUAAUCAAGAACGAAAGUUAGAGGUUCGAAGGCGAUUAAAUACCGCCCUAGUUCUAACCAUAAACGAUGCCAGCUAGCGAUCUGAGGACGUUUUUUUUGUAGACUCCUCAAGAAGCUUCCGGGAAACCAAAGUGUGUGGGUUCCGGGGG
rnacentral:rRNA from 1 species